rnacentral:tRNA from 1 species
GAAGGGCUGUGGCUUCGUGGAAGAGUCUCUCCUUUGCGUUCAGAAGGUCCCAGGUUCAAUCCCUGGGAUCUUCA